rnacentral:misc_RNA from 1 species
AUGAAGAACGCAGCGAAAUGCGAUAAGUAAUGUGAAUUGCAGAAUUCAGUGAAUCAUCGAAUCUUUGAACGCACAUUGCGCCCGCCAGUAUUCUGGCGGGCAUGCCUGUUCGAGCGUCAUUUCAACCCUCAAGACCCCUUCGGGGGACUUGGUGUUGGGGACCGGCACAGGGGCCUGCCUGCUUGUCUUGCAGCGCCCUCGCCGCCCCCGAAAUGAAUUGGCGGCCUCGUCGCGGCCUCCCCUGCGUAGUAGCACAACCUCGCAACGGGAACGUGACGGCGGCCACUGCCGUAAAACAACCCCAAUUUUAUUAGAGUUGACCUCGAAUCAGGUAGGAAUACCCGCUGAACUUAAGCAUAUCAAUAAGCGGAGGA